rnacentral:misc_RNA from 1 species
UCCGACUUGACGUCGGCAGUCUCGUUAGAGUGCCCCACUUAAGGCUGGCAACUAACGACAGAGGUUGCGCUCGUUGCGGGACUUAACCCAACAUCUCACGACACGAGCUGACGACAGCCAUGCAGCGCCUUCUCACCAGUUCCCCGAAGGGCACCCCGACAUCUCUGCCAGGUUCUGGUGGAUUUAACCCAGGUAAGGUUCUUCGCGUUGCAUCGAAUUAAGCCACAUGCUCCGCCGCUUGUGCGGGUCCCCGUCAAUUCCUUUGAGUUUUAGCCUUGCGGCCGUACUCCCCAGGCGGGGUGCUUAAUGCGUUAGCUUCGGCACGGAGAGGGUUGAAGACCUCCCCACACCUAGCACCCAACGUUUACGGCUGGGACUAC